rnacentral:lncRNA from 1 species
CUUUUCAGAAGAGAUAGAAAAAUUAGAAAGAGAGUUAGAGAAUGCAAUAAAGGAGAUGGAGAACCUUAAACUUAACCAGUCUAAAGUGCUUGAGCAACUUCACCAUCAAGAUGAGGUCAACAAAUCAUUAAAAGAAAAAACUUUGCAGCAGAAGCAAAGCUGUGAAGAUCUACAAAGGGAUGUGGAUACCAAAAAUGAACUGCUGGUGUAUUGGUUUGUCACAGUUCCUUUCCGCAGAGCCUUUAUUCC